rnacentral:rRNA from 1 species
UGGGGAAUAUUGCACAAUGGGCGCAAGCCUGAUGCAGCGACGCCGCGUGAGGGAUGACGGCCUUCGGGUUGUAAACCUCUUUCAGCAGGGAAGAAGCGAAAGUGACGGUACCUGCAGAAGAAGCGCCGGCUAACUACGUGCCAGCAGCCGCGGUAAUACGUAGGGCGCGAGCGUUGUCCGGAAUUAUUGGGCGUAAAGAGCUUGUAGGCGGUUUGUCACGUCUGCUGUGAAAGCCCGGGGCUUAACUCCGGGUCUGCAGUGGGUACGGGCUAACUAGAGUGCAGUAGGGGAGACUGGAAUUCCUGGUGUAGCGGUGAAAUGCGCAGAUAUCAGGAGGAACACCAAUGGCGAAGGCAGGUCUCUGGGCUGUAACUGACGCUGAGAAGCGAAA